GUACUAGCUUCAGCAGCACAUAUACUAAAAUCAGAAUGAUACAGAAAAGAUUAGCAUGGCCCCUGUGCAAGGAUGACACUCAAAUUCAUGAUGCACUUCAUAUUUUA
rfam:Tupaia chinensis contig162125, whole genome shotgun sequence.